rnacentral:rRNA from 1 species
AGCAGCCGCGGUAAUUCCAGCUCCAAUAGCGUAUAUUAAAGUUGUUGCAGUUAAAAAGCUCGUAGUUGAAUUUCGGGGUUAGUAGGUUGGUCAUGCCUCUGGUAUGCACUGGCUUUACUGAUUCCUCCUUCUUGAUGAACUGUAAUGUCAUUAAUUUGGUGUUGCAGGGAAUCAGGACUGUUACUUUGAAAAAAUUAGAGUGUUUAAAGCGGGCAUACGCUUGAAUACAUUAGCAUGGAAUAAUGAAAUAGGACGUUUGAUCCUAUUUUGUUGGUUUCUAGGAUUGACGUAAUGAUUAAUAGGGAUAGUUGGGGGCAUUAGUAUUCAAUUGUCAGAGGUGAAAUUCUUGGAUUUAUUGAAGACUAACUACUGCGAAAGCAUUUGCCAAGGAUGUUUUCAUUAAUCAAGAACGAAAGUUAGGGGAUCGAAGACGAUCAGAUACCGUCGUAGUCUUAACCAUAAACUAUGCCGACUAGGGAUCGGAUGAUGUUAUUUUUAAUGACUCA